CAUGCACCGGUGGGGUCCCUUGGCCUGGCCUGCGCCCUCUCGCAAUCCGGGACCCUUUGGGGGAUGUCAGACUGCCAGUUUCGGCCCAAUCCCUGCAGGCCAGGCCGAGGGACCCCACCGGUGCAAG
rnacentral:pre_miRNA from 1 species